CCGGAGCGUGGUCCGGUACGGGGCCGGGCUCCGGCGACCGUACGGGCUCGGGCGACCGGGGCGUCGUCUGUGCGGUGGUCGCCUCCCCGGCCCCGGGC
rnacentral:tRNA from 1 species